ensembl:snRNA U6 U6 spliceosomal RNA
GUGCCUGCUUUGGCAGCACCUAUACUAGAAUUGGGAUAAUACAGAGAAGGCCAGCAUGGCCGCUGUGCAAGGAUGACAUGUAAAAGGUGUGCAGCAUUCCGUAUUUUU